rnacentral:rRNA from 1 species
UACAGAGGUGGCAAGCGUUGUUCGGAAUUACUGGGCGUAAAGGGCGCGUAGGCGGCCCGUCAAGUCCCGUGUGAAAGCCCCCGGCUCAACCGGGGAACUGCACGGGAAACUAGCAGGCUUGAGUUCGGGAGAGGGAAGCGGAAUUUCGGGUGUAGCGGUGAAAUGCGCAGAUAUCCGAAGGAACACCGGUGGCGAAGGCGGUUCUCUGGGAAUGACCUGACGCUGAGGAGCGAAAGUGUGGGGAGCGAACAGG